GAUCCUGGCUCAGGACGAACGCUGGCGGCACGCUUAACACAUGCAAGUCGAACGGAGUUGAUUGAAGCUUGCUUUGAUUAACUUAGUGGCGGACGGGUGAGUAACACGUGAGCAACCUGCCUUUAAGAGAGGAAUAACAGUCUGAAAAGACUGCUAAUACCUCAUAACAUAACGAAGCCGCAUGACUUUGUUAUCAAAGAUUUAUCGCUUAAAGAUGGGCUCGCGUCUGAUUAGCUUG
rnacentral:rRNA from 1 species